UAUUCCCGUCUGUCUCCAGGGUCCCUUUCCGUCCAAUAUCUCCUCCCAUGUCCAGGAGUCCUGAACCCUCUGCUUCUCCAUACCACGCUGCUUGGUCUGUUGGUGGUGGGUAGUUCUGUUAAGGGUGUCGUCGUCUGAAGAGGAGGAAUAAUCGGACCAAAGCGCAGCGUGAAUGUGGCCAAGUCCUCUCUACUCUCCAGAGAACAGUCCCCGCCCCUGGGGUGGACUAUAUCGAUGAGCAGGGUGGGCCUGGAGGUCGGCGUCUGGGGUAGGGUCGUCAGUUCACCAGAGCCAGUAAAGCUCCAGACCCUGCCUCACUGAGAAGGAUGACCCUGGUCUCAGGGACCAGGAGCCUGGUUAAGAGGUUGUGGAUACUCCUCCUCUGCUUCCACGUCCCAGGCUAGGUCCCAGAGCAUCAGGACACCACAAGGGCAGCGACACAGAACCCCCUCCUAAGGCAGGCUUCCAGGGGCUCUCACAGUCCACCCACCCCGUGAGAACCAAAGAACCGGAUGAGGAAGACUGGGGCAAUGUGGGCCAGGAGAAGGAAGAGCAGGCCAGGCAGGGUGUUGCAGUGUAGACAUAUCAUGUUAUAGUGCAGGAGGAACAUGCUCUCUGAACAGAUCAGGCACCGUAGUGAGUCAGAAACUAUGAACCUCUAUGACAGUCUAACAUCCUCUCAUUUAUAAAACCACAUUAAAACAUCUCUAAAUA